UACAGAGGUCCCAAGCGUUGUUCGGAUUCAUUGGGCGUAAAGGGUGCGUAGGCGGCGCGGUAAGUCGGGUGUGAAAUCUCGGGGCUUAACUCCGAAACUGCAUUCGAUACUGCCGUGCUUGAGGACUGGAAAGGAGACUGGAAUUUACGGUGUAGCGGUGAAAUGCGUAGAUAUCGUAAGGAAGACCAGUGGCGAAGGCGGGUCUCUGGACAGUUCCUGACGCUGAGGCACGAAGGUCAGGGGAGCAAACGGG
rnacentral:rRNA from 1 species